CAAAAAAAAGUCUUAUUUUGCUUUUCAAAACAACUCUUUAUUUUGCUUUUCUUGCAGAGAAGGGAGAUCAUGAUUCACAGAUUAUUCACACAAAUCCGAAGACCACCAAGCCUUAGGAUGGAAAAAGAGGAGUCUGCAGCCUCCAGCCUUGCUCAACUGUGUUAUCAAUAUCACUUACAAAGGCACCUGCAUUAUGGAGUGCAAACCUGACUAUUUCUACAUAUCAAGUUGUACAACGCUGCAAGAGUUAAUUAUGGCAAAACAAGGCAAAAUUGUGGCCCUGUUGGUGAGAAGCGCAGAUUUGACUUGAUGCAAGCUGGGGAAGAUUUCCAAGUAAAAUUUGCAAAUUUCUUCAUUGGACAUAAUGAAGAUGACAUUGUCUCAAGCUUCUAAAGUCAUAAAUGCCUCAAAUCAAUAUGCUACAAAAGGCAUAUGGAAAGAUUCCAGCUCUAUCUCAUACCACAGUGACUAUUCAUUUCCUACUGGUAAUCACCCACUCAUUCCAUGGCUGCAAAGAGAAACACAGAGAAUGACCACAAGACUCUCUAAUAAUAAGUUGAAUGAUUCUUCACCCACAUAGUGAAAACAGGGAUGCAUCCUCUCUCCACCUGAAAUGAGCUACCUGAAAGAUUGGCAGCUGCCUGCAGAACAGGCACACCUUGCACUUAGUACCAGGUGAGCAAAGUUUUAAUCAUG
rnacentral:lncRNA from 12 species